rfam:Gossypium raimondii chromosome 6, whole genome shotgun sequence.
AAUCCAUGCUCGGACAUUUCUGAAUUAAGUCUUUAAAUCAUUCCCAAGCUUCAUAUAAUGUUUCAUCCUCCAUUUUCUGGAAAGAUGUGAUGUCAUUUCUAAGCUU